rnacentral:lncRNA from 1 species
AGACGGUGUCUUGAGCCUAGUUCAUGUGACUUCUACGGGGCAACUUGCGGAUGUGUUUACUAAAGGGCUUAACAACAAGAUCUACCAUAAUCUGAUUUGCAAGUUGGGCAUGUGUGACAUCUUUGCACCAACUUGAGGGGGAGUGUUGACUUAUUUAACUAAUCCUAGCUGAUUCUAGAGAUUUGAUUUGAUCUGAUUAGGAUCCUUAAUUAUCUCUGUAAUUAUUAUUUGAUUAUUUACUUCCUGUUUAGAUAUGAUUCUUUGUGUAUAAAUAGUCAUGUAGACCAAUUGUAAAGAUUAAGAGUGAAAUAUAAAAAUACUCAAAAUUUUCCUAAAAUUCUUCAUGGUAUCAAAGCUUUUUCCUGAUUUUUUGGGUCCAAAUUCAAUUUUUCAUUUUUAGGGUUUCAAAACCCUAGAUCUACCAAUUUUGGUACUAACCCAUCUAGGAGCCUCUUUUUCUCUCACCGCCGGCACCAGGAGAACCGCCAGACUGCCGCCGGCCGAUCGACCAGCUCCGACGUCGGAAAAGCCUGCGCGUGAGGCUCACGCGCCACCCCUUCCCGGCGCGUGACCCGUCGCUUCCCUGCGCGUGACCCGUCGCUUCCCUGCGCGUGACCCGUCGCUUCCCUGCGCGUGAUCCAUCGUCUGUCACUGUUUCGCCGCUCAGAUCACUCCGGCGACGAUUCCGACCAUCUUUCCGGCUCUCUCGUGCUGUUACCCGGUCUUUUGGUGAAUCAUUUGGGCUUUCUUGUGUGUACAACCUUGGGUACCUCCUAUUCUUUCACUGUUCAUAAAUCUUUACUAUGGCAGAAGGGUUGAAUAACGAAUAUGAUCCAAUUCGGGUCCAAGUGUUGGGAAGAAAUCCUUUUCCUUCUCUAGAAGAGGCCUAUGCCCAUGUUCAACAAGAGGAAAGUCGUCGACAUGCUAUGCUCCAUACUGCACCAGUUGAAAAGGCUGGGUUGACUACCAGUUUGAGCACACCACAGCCUCCUACUUCUGAGAAAGAUCACUUACACUGUGACUAUUGUGGGAAACCAAGGCAUACCAAAGAGACUUGUUGGAAGUUACAUGGUUGUCCCACUAGAGGUCGUGGAGGAAAACGAGGUACCUCUAGAAAUCAAGCUAAGUUAGCAGAAACUGUGGAGGAGCCCUUUAAGGAGACAACAACGACUGAGUUCCUUUCCCCUAAUGAACUUCAGAGUCUCAAGCGCCUCUUGUCUCAUAUUGACACCUCUUCAUCCUCUGGUGCUACAUCUAACUUUGUAAAGUCAGGUAAUGCUUCCUCUUUUAAUAAUGUUCCAUGGAUUAUCGAUUCUGGUGCGAAUAGACAUAUAACAAGCUCUUAUAAAGGCUUUCUCAAUUAUUCUCCUUCUCUAACCAAAGAUAGUGUCAGAAUUGCUGAUGGCUCUUUUACUCCCAUAUCCGGAACAGGUUCUGUUAUUUGCACAUCCAACAUUAAAUUAUCAUCUGUCCUUCAUGUUCCCCACUUUCCUGUCAACCUUUUAUCUGUCAGUGCUAUCACCAAUGCUCUUAACUGUAAAAUUAAAUUCUUUCCUGAUCAUUGUGUUAUUCAGGAUCUUCGCACAGGGAAGAUGAUUGGCAAUAGUAGGCUGCAUGAUGGCUUAUACAUGUUGGAGGGUGAUCCGGCUUCUUCGAUAUCUCAAGCCUGUUUUGGAGAAAAUAAGGAUGUCAAUCAGGAAAUAAUACAGUGGCACCGGCGGUUAGGGCAUCCAUCAUUUUUUGUUUUAGAAAAACUUUAUCCUGAUUUGUUUGCUAAAACCCAGUUUGGCUCUUUAUGUUGUGAUGCUUGUGAGUAUGCUAAACACACUAGAACAUCCUAUCCUUUGAGUCAUAAUAAAAGUCAAAUUGCUUUUGCAACUAUUCAUUCUGAUGUUUGGGGGCCUACUCAAACGGUCUCCUUAUCUGGUAAUCGAUGGUUUGUCACCUUUAUUGAUUGUUGUACUCGAAUGACUUGGGUCUAUUUGAUUAAAGCUAAAAGUGAUGUCUUUUCUUGUUUUCAAUCCUUUCAUAAGAUGGUUUGUACUCAAUUUGAUACUAAGGUGAAAAUUUUGAGAACUGACAAUGGAAGAGAAUACAUGGAUAGUAGUUUUUCUGCUUAUUUGGAGAGUAAUGAGAUAAUACACCAGACUAGUUGCCCUUAUACUAGUGCUCAAAAUGGCGUUGCUGAGAGGAAAAAUAGACAUCUAUUGGAGGUAGCUCGAUCUCUUAUGUUCACCAUGAAUCUACCCAAAACAUAUUGGGGAGAUGCAAUUCUUACAUCUGCUUAUCUUAUCAAUAGAAUGCCUCUCAAGACCCUUAACUUUAUGAGUCCUUUGACGGCUCUACAAGGGAAAAAUUCAUACGUUGUUCCACCAAAAGUAUUUGGGUGUGUUUGCUUUGUCCAUACUAGGACGGCAGGAAAACUGGAUCCCAAGGCCCUUAAAUGUGUGUUUGUUGGGUAUUCUCCAACACAGAAGGGAUACAAGUGUUAUCAUCCUCCCUCUAGGAAAUAUUUCGUUAGUAUGGAUGUUACCUUCUUAGAAACUGAACCCUACUUCAGUACCACCCACUCACCUCUUCAGGGGGAGAAUAAUGAGCAAGAAGAGGUGAUCCCGAAUUCUGUGAUUCUGAAUGAUAUGGUUCAACUAGAAAGUUUGAGUUCUAGUAGACAGGGGGAGAUGUCCAAUCAGGGAGAGAGAACUGGUCGUUUGGACAAGCCAGAUUUGAGAAGGUAUUCAAGGAGAGAUAAGGCAGAAGAAGCCAUUAUGCAGUCUACUCAGAGUCAAAAAUCUUCUCCUGGUGAGUUACCCACAACUCUUUCUUCUGGUGAGUUACCCACAACUCUUGAAUGUUUCAAUGACUUAGAUAAACCUAUUGCACAAAGAAAAGGGGUCAGAUCUUGCACUAAACACCCUAUUUCUAACUUUGUUUCUUAUGAAUUUUUAUCUCCUUCCUAUAGAGCCUUUGCCUUGUCUAUUUCCUCUGUGUCUAUUCCACAGGAUUGGAAGAAAGCUCUUGCAGAUCCUAAAUGGAAGAAAGCAAUGAUUGAAGAGAUGAAAGCAUUGGCUAAAAAUGAGACUUGGGAGCUUGUCACUCUCCCACCUGAGAAGAAACUCGUUGGCUGUAAAUGGGUGUUCACAGUGAAACACAAAGCCGAUGGCACAAUUGAACGGUUUAAGGCCAGAUUGGUUGCUAAAGGAUUCACCCAAACCUAUGGAGUGGAUUACCAAGAGACAUUUGCUCCAGUUGCAAAAAUGAACUCAAUCAGAGUUUUGUUAUCUUGCGCAGCCAACUUGGACUGGGACUUGCAACAGUUUGAUGUGAAGAAUGCUUUCCUCCAUGGAGAUUUAGAGGAAGAAGUGUUCAUGGAAAUUCCUCCUGGGUUCGCUGAUGAGAAGACACAAGGAAAGGUGUGCAGGUUAAAAAAGGCUUUGUAUGGGCUAAAACAAUCUCCCAGAGCUUGGUUUGACAGGUUUAGCAGAGCCAUGAUGUCCUUUGGUUACCAACAAAGCAAUGCUGAUCACACUCUGUUUAUCAAACAUCAUAAGGGUAAGAUCACCCUUCUUAUUGUGUAUGUUGAUGAUAUAGUGGUGACAGGUGAUGACAAAGAGGAAAUGGCUCAACUAAAGAGGUUGUUGGCCCAGGAAUUUGAAAUCAAAGAUCUGGAAAAACUGCAAUAUUUUCUAGGUAUCGAGGUGGUUAGAUCAGAAAAAGGAAUUUUCAUCUCCUAAAGAAAGUACAUUCUGGAUCUUUUGGAAGAAACUGGUAUGAUGGGGUGUAAACCAGCAGAAUCUCCCAUUGAAAGUAAUCACAAGCUGAAAGCAGGAACUGGUGAGUCCGUGGAUAUUGGAAGAUAUCAGAGAUUGGUAGGAAGGUUGAUUUAUCUCUCACACACUCGACCGGAUAUAGCCUAUGCUGUUAGCUUAAUCAGCCAAUUCAUGCAUGACCCUCGCGAGACUCAUAUGCAAGCUGUACUUCGCAUCUUGAGAUACCUAAAGUCUGCGCCAGAGAAAGGGCUUCUUUACUCCAAACAUGGUCAUCUCCGAAUUGAAACUUUUACAGAUGCAGAUUGGGCAGGAUCUCUCGAUGACAGGAGAUCCACCUCUGGCUACUGCACAGUUGUGGGGGGAACCUUGUCACCUGGAGGAGCAAAAAACAAAGUGUUGUUGCUCGGUCAAGUGCGGAAGCAGAAUACAGAGCAAUGGCCCAAGGAGUAUGUGAACUCUUAUGGUUACAGAAGUUAUUGGAAGAGUUGAGAUUGUCCGAGAGAGACAAGAUAACUUUGUAUUGUGACAAUAAAGCUGCUAUAAGGAUAGCACAAAAUCCAGUCCAACAUGACCGAACCAAGCACAUUGAAAUUGAUCGGCACUUCAUUAAAGAAAAAUUAACAGACGGUGUCUUGAGCCUAGUUCAUAUGACUUCUACGGGGCAACUUGCGGAUGUGUUUACUAAAAGGCUUAACAACAAGAUCUACCAUAAUCUGAUUUGCAAGUUGGGCAUGUGUGACAUCUUUGCACCAACUUGAGGGGGAGUGUUGACUUAUUUAACUAAUCCUAGCUGAUUCUAGAGAUUUGAUUUGAUCUGAUUAGGAUCCUUAAUUAUCUCUGUAAUUAUUAUUUGAUUAUUUACUUCCUGUUUAGAUAUGAUUAUCUGUGUAUAAAUAGUCAUGUAGACCAAUUGUAAAG